UAUGAAGCCCUUCGGGGUGGAUUAGUGGCGAACGGGUGAGUAACACGUGGGCAAUCUGCCCUUCACUCUGGGACAAGCCCUGGAAACGGGGUCUAAUACCGGAUAACACUCUGUCCCGCAUGGGACGGGGUUAAAAGCUCCGGCGGUGAAGGAUGAGCCCGCGGCCUAUCAGCUUGUUGGUGGGGUAAUGGCCUACCAAGGCGACGACGGGUAGCCGGCCUGAGAGGGCGACCGGCCACACUGGGACUGAGACACGGCCCAGACUCCUACGGGAGGCAGCAGUGGGGAAUAUUGCACAAUGGGCGAAAGCCUGAUGCAGCGACGCCGCGUGAGGGAUGACGGCCUUCGGGUUGUAAACCUCUUUCAGCAGGGAAGAAGCGAAAGUGACGGUACCUGCAGAAGAAGCGCCGGCUAACUACGUGCCAGCAGCCGCGGUAAUACGUAGGGCGCAAGCGUUGUCCGGAAUUAUUGGGCGUAAAGAGCUCGUAGGCGGCUUGUCACGUCGGAUGUGAAAGCCCGGGGCUUAACCCCGGGUCUGCAUUCGAUACGGGCUAGCUAGAGUGUGGUAGGGGAGAUCGGAAUUCCUGGUGUAGCGGUGAAAUGCGCAGAUAUCAGGAGGAACACCGGUGGCGAAGGCGGAUCUCUGGGCCAUUACUGACGCUGAGGAGCGAAAGCGUGGGGAGCGAACAGGAUUAGAUACCCUGGUAGUCCACGCCGUAAACGUUGGGAACUAGGUGUUGGCGACAUUCCACGUCGUCGGUGCCGCAGCUAACGCAUUAAGUUCCCCGCCUGGGGAGUACGGCCGCAAGGCUAAAACUCAAAGGGAAUUGA
rnacentral:rRNA from 1 species